AGUAAUGUCUGGGAAACUGCCUGAUGGAGGGGGAUAACUGCUGGAAACGGUAGCUAAUACCGCAUAACGUCGCAAGACCAAAGAGGGGGACCUUCAGGCCUCUUGCCAUCGGAUGUGCCCAGAUGGGAUUAGCUAGUAGGUGGGGUAACGGCUCACCUAGGCGACGAUCCCUAGCUGGUCUGAGAGGAUGGCCAGCCACACUGGAACUGAGACACGGUCCAG
rnacentral:rRNA from 1 species